AGGAAAACCUGCCGGUCAAUACCCGGUAGCUUGACAUUACCUUUAGAAGAAGCACCGGCUAACUCCGUGCCAGCAGCCGCGGUAAUACGGAGGGUGCGAGCGUUAAUCGGAAUUACUGGGCGUAAAGCGUGCGUAGGUGGUUCGUUAAGUCAGAUGUGAAAGCCCUGGGCUCAACCUGGGAACUGCAUUUGAAACUGGCGGACUAGAGUUUAGUAGAGGGGAGUGGAAUUUCAGGUGUAGCGGUGAAAUGCGUAGAUAUCUGAAGGAACACCAGUGGCGAAGGCGACUCCCUGGACUAAAGCUGACGCUGAGGUACGAAAGCGUGGGUAGCAAACAGGAUUAGAUNCCCUGGUAGUCCACGCCGUAAACGAUGUCGACUAGCCGUUGGUCCUAUAUACAGGAUUAGUGGCGCAGCUAACGCAUUAAGUCGACCGCCUGGGGAGUACGGCCGCAAGGUUAAAACUCAAAGG
rnacentral:rRNA from 1 species